rnacentral:rRNA from 1 species
CUACGGGAGGCAGCAGUGGGGAAUAUUGGACAAUGGGGGGAACCCUGAUCCAGCCAUGCCGCGUGUGUGAAGAAGGCCCUCGGGUUGUAAAGCACUUUCAGUGAGGAAGAACGCCUGGUGGUUAAUACCCAUCAGGAAAGACAUCACUCACAGAAGAAGCACCGGCUAACUCCGUGCCAGCAGCCGCGGUAAUACGGAGGGUGCGAGCGUUAAUCGGAAUUACUGGGCGUAAAGCGCGCGUAGGUGGCUUGAUAAGCCGGUUGUGAAAGCCCCGGGCUCAACCUGGGAACGGCAUCCGGAACUGUCAAGCUAGAGUGCAGGAGAGGAAGGUAGAAUUCCCGGUGUAGCGGUGAAAUGCGUAGAGAUCGGGAGGAAUACCAGUGGCGAAGGCGGCCUUCUGGACUGACACUGACACUGAGGUGCGAAAGCGUGGGUAGCAAACAGGAUUAGAUACCCCAGUAGUC